rnacentral:rRNA from 1 species
UACGUAGGGUGCGAGCGUUGUCCGGAAUUAUUGGGCGUAAAGAGCGUGUAGGCGGUUUGGUAGGUCCGUUGUGAAAACUCGAGGCUCAACCUCGAGACGCCGAUGGAAACCAUCAGACUAGAGUCCGGAAGAGGAGAGUGGAAUUCCUGGUGUAGCGGUGAAAUGCGCAGAUAUCAGGAAGAACACCCGUGGCUAAGGCGGCUCUCUAGUACGGUACUGACGCUGAGACGCGAAAGCGUGGGGAGCGAACAGG